rnacentral:tRNA from 1 species
GGGGGUUUAGCACUUCGUGCGCCCUAAUUGUUACUUAGGGAGGGGUUAGUGUAAAGUCCUAACAACCUCCG